GCAACGCCUUCGGAUGACUUGUGGUAAGGAGUGAAAAGCUAAUCGAACGAGGAAAUAGCUGGUUCUCUCCGAAAUAGUUUUUGGACUAGCCUCGGAUCAUGCUUGACGGGAGGUAAAGCACUGGAUCGUCCAUAAUUGCCGAAAGGCAGGUGGACGAAUCAAACUCUGAAUGCCCGUUCAGUUAUUCCGGGAGUCAGUACGCGGGGGCUAAGCUCCGCGGUACAUGAGGGGAAGAGCCCUGAUCACAAACUAAGGCCCCUAAAUCCAUGCUCAGUGGUUAAGGUGGUGAAGUUUCUCAAACAGCAAGGAGGUUGGCUUAGAAGCAGCCACCCUUUAAAGAGUGCGUAACAGCUCACUUGUCAAGAGACUUUGCGCUAAAAAUUCAACGGGGCUAAGCAUGGUGCCGAAGUUGUGGGUUAUGUGCCUGAAUUUUGGAACACGAAGUGUUCCAAGAAAGGAAAAACAAGAUGAAAGACGGUGCGCGACGAAAGGUCCAGCUUAACAAAGCAACGAAGGACCUGAAAAUCAACGAACGCGUUAGAGGAUCGCACGUCUCAUGAAUAUCUAGCUGAUCGCUUACGCGAUCAGCUCCAAAAUUCAGGCACAUAGCGGUAGGAGAGCAUUUCAAAUGCCGUGAAGGUCGACCCGCGAGGGCGACUGGAGCGUUUGGAAGAGAGAAUGUUGGCACAAGUAACCACAAGACAGGUGAAAACCCUGUCCGCCGAAAACCCAAGGUUUCCUUGGCAAUGACAAUCAUCCAAGGUUUAGUCGGCCCUAAGGCAAUGGCGAAAGCCGCAGCCGAUGGAAGGCUGGUUAAUAUUCCAGCACUGUAUUUUUGAUCGAUGGCGGGUCGGAGCGAAGUAUAUCAGGCGUAUUAUUGGAUUUACGUUUGCGGUGUGAGGAUUGGGCGUAGGAAAAUCCGCGCCCGUGGGGGAAACUCCGGAUCCAAGCAUUGUGAAAAUCAUGCGGGGCAACCCAAUUGAAAUCUGAUAAAGCUCGCUUCCAAGAAAAGCGUCUAAGAUUAUCAAAAAUGCAACCGUACCGGAAACCGACACAGGUGGGUUGGUCGAGUAGACCAAGGCGAACGAGUGAGUCUUCGUUAAGGAACUAGGCAAAAAAGCAGCCGUAAGUUCGCGAUAAGGCUUGCCCUGUGCGCAGCACAGGGAAAUUCUAAAUUCUAAUUUCUAAACUCUAAACAAAUUCAAAAUUCUAAACUCAAAUUUUUCCAAACAUGUUUUUGGUUUUUUGAAGAUCGGGAUUUGUUUAGGAUUUAGGAUUUCGGGUUUAGGAUUUUCCCGUGCUGUGCGCGGGGCUGCAACAAAAGUACCCCUGGCGACUGUUUACCAAAAACACAGGUCCCUGCUAACUCGUAAGAGGAUGUAUAGGGGCUGACGCCUGACCGAUGCGAGAAGGUCAAAGAUUGCCGUAUAGGUGUUGAGAUUAUAUCAAGAUGUUUAUGCACGCGGUCUUAAGCCCUCGUCAAUGUCAGCAAUAACUAUAAUUGUUCUAAGGUAGCGCAAUUCCUUUUCGGGUAAGUUCCGAAGCGCACGAAAGGCGUAACGAUCGGGGGACUGUCUCAACGAAGAGCUCGGUGAAAAUACAAUGCCGGUGAAGAUGCCGGUUACCUGCAGUUAGACGAAAAGACCCCGGGAGCUUUACUGUAGCUUGGUAUUGGGUCUAGGUUUUUUCUGCGUAGCAUAGGCGGGAGAGGUUGAUCCCCGGUUUUCGGAUCGGGGGGACUCGUCAGUGAAAUACCGCUCUUAAAAAACUUAGAUUCUAACC
rnacentral:rRNA from 1 species